rnacentral:rRNA from 1 species
GAUGAACGCUAGCGGCAGGCCUAACACAUGCAAGUCGAGGGGCAACGAGAUGGUAGCAAUACCAUUGUCGGCGACCGGCGAACGGGUGCGUAACGCGUGAACAACUUGCCGGACACAGGGGGAUAAUCGUCGGAAACGUCGUCUGAUAUCCCAUAACAUUGGCAUGGGCAUCCAUGUUGAUUGAAAGCAUUUAUGCGGUGUCUGAUAGGUUCGCGUGACAUUAGCUAGUCGGUGGGGCAACGGCCCACCGAGGCGACGAUGUCUGGGGGUUCUGAGAGGAAGGCCCCCCACACUGGGACUGAGACACGGCCCAGACUCCUACGGGAGGCAGCAGUGAGGGAUAUUGGACAAUGGGCGGAAGCCUGAUCCAGCCAUGCCGCGUGAAGGAAUAAGGUCCUAUGGGUCGUAAACUUCUUUUGACGCAGAGCAAUAAGGGACACGUGUGUUCCGAUGAGAGUAUGCGUCGAAUAAGCAUCGGCUAACUCCGUGCCAGCAGCCGCGGUAAUACGGAGGAUGCGAGCGUUAUCCGGAUUUAUUGGGUUUAAAGGGUGCGUAGGCUGUUGGAUAAGUCAGCGGUGAAAUCACCACGCUCAACGUGUUGUGUGCCGUUGAAACUGUCCAGCUUGAAUGCGCUCGUCGUGAGAGGAAUGUGUGGUGUAGCGGUGAAAUGCAUAGAUAUCACACAGAACACCGAUUGCGAAGGCAUCUCACGAGAGCGUUAUUGACGCUGAUGCACGAAAGCGCGGGUAUCGAACAGGAUUAGAUACCCUGGUAGUCCGCGCUGUAAACGAUGAUGACUAACCGUUGGUCUGGUAUGGAUCAGUGGUCAAGCGAAAGCGUUAAGUCAUCCACCUGGGGAGUACGGCCGCAAGGCUGAAACUCAAAGGAAUUGACGGGGGCCCGCACAAGCGGAGGAACAUGUGGUUUAAUUCGAUGAUACGCGAGGAACCUUACCCGGGCUCGAACGGCGGAUGAAUAUGUUUGAGAGAGCAUAGUCGCAAGACAUCCGUCGAGGUGCUGCAUGGUUGUCGUCAGCUCGUGCCGUGAGGUGUCGGCUUAAGUGCCAUAACGAGCGCAACCCUUGCCGUCAGUUGCCAUCAGGAAAAGCUGGGGACUCUGUCGGGACUGCCACCGCAAGGUGUGAGGAAGGGGGGGAUGACGUCAAAUCAGCACGGCCCUUACGUCCGGGGCUACACACGUGUUACAAUGGCGACUACAGAGGGGAGCCACCCGGUGACGGGGCGCCGAUCUCCAAAAGUCGUCUCAGUUCGGACUGGAGUCUGCAACCCGACUCCACGAAGCUGGAUUCGCUAGUAAUCGCACAUCAGCCAUGGUGCGGUGAAUACGUUCCCGGGCCUUGUACACACCGCCCGUCAAGCCAUGAGAGCCAGGGGCGCCUGAAGCGCGUGACCGUCAAGGAGCGUUCAAGGGCGAACCAGGUGAUUGGGGCUAAGUCGUAACAAGGUAGCCGUACCGGAAGGUGU